GGCGGCACUAGCCAGAGCAGCGGCGAACAGGAGCAGGGAAAGCGCCUCCGAUAGGCCAGGCCUAGGGACCUGCGGGGAGAGGGCGAGGUCGGCACCCGGCACGGCCCUCUGAUUGGCUCCUGGAACUCGCCCCGCCUACGCCCAUAGGUGGGCCCGCACUCCUCCCUGCGCCUCGCCCCCUCCCCAACAGCAGCUGCUGUUAGUCCACUUGCAAGCCUCGAAUCCCGUCGGAAACUCGUCAUUGGCUGCUUCCUAGUGGCCUGUGUUGAUUCGCUGCCCGAGGAUCCUCCCUCCCGCGGUGGGACCAGCCCCGCAAAUGCGCAGCUAAGCGGGUGGCACUGGGCGGGUGGAGCUAGGGGCGCGGCGGCGGAGGGGGGCGUGGGCAGCCGGACGUACCCUGGCAGGGAGCAGCAGGUGGCGGCGGUGCAUGGGGCCUGGCCCCACCAGCGGGCACUGGCCCAGAGCCACGGCCGGGGGGCCAUCUAGCUGGAGAGAGAAGGGACAGGUGACCCGAUCGGAGCCCAGCCCAGCCCUCGGUGGUGCGGCGAGAGACAGCGAGGGGAGUCAAGGCCGGGGAGGUUAUCUAGGGAGAUCCCAGAGGGGAUCUGGUGAGACCUGAACCGAGGGAGAUCUGGGACUGAAGGAAGGGCUUCUGCCCUCUGAAGUCGCAAAGAGAUAGGGUGUCCAUACACGCCCCACGGAGCAGACGGCCCACCUCCUCCCGGUCCUCGGGAAGGGGACGCUUGAGGGACUUGCCUGUGGCUCCCUCUGCCUGCAGCAACUCCAUGCGCUCUUGCAGCUGCCGGACGUGCGCCUCCAGGUCCCGGUUCCGAGCUUCGGCCUCGCGUAGUUGACUGUGGGGAAGUAAGGACGGUGAGUCCGUCUGGGCUGAACGAGAGGGGGCUGCCAAGGGUUGCCACAGGCCCUGAGCCCCGACCCCGACCUGGCGAAGUUCUGGUUGGCCGUGCGGAUGGCCUCCAUCUCCCGGCUCAGGCUCUGCCGGGUGAGCACCUCCUCCUCAAGUGCCUCCUGGAGCUCCCGCAGCGUCACCUCGGCCUCAGCCUCCACCACAGGGAUAUCAGCUGGAACUGCCACUUCGGCCUGUGUAUGGGAACCAGGCUUAAGGCUGCCCAUGGCUCCUGAAGACUCAGGACUUGGGCCCUGGUUCCAGGCCUGAGAGUCUCGCUUGUCCCCUACUCCUCCACCCCCUCGGGAUUUCUGGAAUGGCCAUCGCUCCUGCAAUGAUCCAAGCCCCCUCCCUUCCUUACUCCCCUCAGCCCCAUCCCUGAGUCUGGUCCCCUCAAUCCACGCAGGGACUAGAGGGCUAGUCCUAAAACACUAACACAACUUGACCCUGACCCUCUGCUUCUCAAAAAUCCCUCCAGCUCCCUAAUGCCCUCAGGACAAAAGGUCUUGCCAGGUUGUUUUCUGCUGGCCUCGUCAGCCAUCUCAGGAACAAUUCAGCCAGACUAUCUGUGACUUUCAGGAACAAACCAGGAUUCCCACCUGCUCAAGGCCUUUGCCCUUAAGGUCUGGCCUGACCACCUGGUACUUUUCUUUCCUUCACCAGUGCUCAGUUCAAAGAUAAGCUCCUCGGAUCCCUGGCAACACACACCCUUAAACGCCCUACUGUAACGCCUUCACAGGGACCUCUGUGGCUUCUGUCUGCUUCUGUUCAGUAAGCUCCCAGAAGGCCCCACAGUGCACCCCAUGCAGGAAGCCCUCGCCUUUUCUCUCCUGUUUGUCCCUGACGGACCCUCACCUCUACCAACUUACUGUUUCAUCUGGCAGGGACACCGAGGGCUCCAGGCUGGGCGCUUGUACGUGUGGCUCAAGCAGCUGCUCGGCCUCCAGUUCCAUGGGUGUGGGGCCUGGGACCUCAUUGUCCCUGGGGAGAGGAGGAGGGAGUAGGGAGGGAGACAGAAUGCUGAUUCUUGAAUGGAGAACCAGGAACUCCUGGCCUGUGGGUAAGGGGCAGCUGCUUCAAAGACCACCUGAUCUGAGGAAGGGGAGCGGCAGAGUGAAGAGAACGGUCUCAGGUGGGCUGGCAGCCCUUCCCCCUGCUUAUGAAAAGCCCUGCCCCUUCCCUGGCCCUGGGCCGCUGGGAGCUGCUUUUUCUAAACCUUCUGCAGGGACUCAGGGUCCAGACCCCCAUGUUCUAGGGUCAGUUCAUCUCCUCCUUUGACAUGUGACCUCUGCAGACCUGAUGAGGGAGACUGCUUGGCUCUGGCCACCUCCACAGAUGUGGUCCUAAGACUGGGAAUGGGACCCCAAGAUGGCGACUCCAGAUCAGCACACCCCGCUCAGCUGUGGGAAGGGGACAGCCCCUCCCUGGGGGUAAGAAGUGGCUGUCCCCUACAACCCAGCACCCUCUCCUGGAGGAACAUGGCUCAGGACCUAGCUAUCCUCGACAUGCACCUGGGUCUAACAGAGGAUGGGUUCAAUCCUGAACCACCUGUUCAGGCCCCACAGCGGCUGAGAAUCAAAUUUGAGUUAAUUAAUGAGAAGAAAUGGCAUUUGUAAUGUUUUCCAGUAAUAAAAGCUGAUUAGAAAA